UACGUAGGUGGCAAGCGUUGUCCGGAUUUAUUGGGCGUAAAGCGAGCGCAGGCGGUUUCUUAAGUCUGAUGUGAAAGCCCCCGGCUCAACCGGGGAGGUUCAUUGGAAACUGGGAGACGUGAGUGCGGAAGAGGAGAGUGGAAUUCCAUGUGUAGCGGUGGAAUGCGUAGAUAUAUGGAGGAACACCAGUGGCGAAGGCGACUGUCUGGUCUGUUACUGACACUGAGGCACGAAAGCGUGGGUAGCAAACAUG
rnacentral:rRNA from 1 species